AGGAAGAAAGUCUGAAACCAGCCAUGCCGCGUGGGAAGGAUGAAGGUCCUCUGGAUUGUAAACUUCUUUUAUCUGGGAAGAAAUCCACAGUUUCUACUGUGAUUGACGGUACCAGAUGAAUAAGCACCGGCUAACUCCGUGCCAGCACCGCGGU
rnacentral:rRNA from 1 species